GACGAACGCUGGCGGCGUGCCUAAUACAUGCAAGUAGGACGCAGUUGCGAACGGGUGAGUAACGCGUAGGUAAUUGCCUAUUAGAGGGGGAUAACUAUUGGAAACGAUAGCUAAUACCGCAUACUCGUAGAUGGACCUGCGUUGUAUUAGGUAGUAGGUAGGGUAAUGGCCUACCUAGGCGACGAUACAUAGCCGACCUGGGAGGGUGAUCGGCCAAACUGGGACUGGGGAACGGGCCAGACGCCUACGGGAGGCAGCAGUAGGGAAUCUUCGGCAAUGGGGGGAAACCUGACCGAGCAACGGCGCGGGAGUGAAGAAGGGUUUCGGAUCGGAAAGCUCUGUUGGUAAGGAAGCGGUACUUAACCAGAAAGGGACGGCUAACUACGUGCCAGCCGCCGCGGUAAUUC
rnacentral:rRNA from 1 species